GGGCCGUUAGCUCAGUUGGUAGAGCAACUGACUUUUAAUCAGUUGGUCGCAGGUUCGAAUCCUGCACGGCUCACCA
rnacentral:tRNA from 1 species